rnacentral:tRNA from 1 species
AGGAUUAUAUUUAAAUAUAAUAUUUGAUUUGCAAUCAAAAGGUAUCCAAAGGAUUAAUCUUU